rnacentral:lncRNA from 1 species
GUUGGUGAUGUUCUGCUGCUGCCGGGCGGGCCAGCCUGUAGCUCAGGCGUUGGCGGGAGCCUCGUGCUCCGCGGGGCUUCUUGAAGAGGGUGAGGUGUGGGGGUACCGUCCUGUAGGCAGGGCUGUGUGUGCCCCCCGUGUGUGCUUGGUGAGCUGCGUUCUGAGAGACCCCCUGUACUCAGGUGGGAAUGUGGCCCCGGCCUUUCAGAGGCGCGGGGCCGUGAGAUGCGGGGUGGGGCUUGCGCCCUCCCUGGAAUCGGGGCUGGGAUCCCGACUGCGGCCUUUGGCCGUGCCGCCCCGCUGCCUGGCUGCUGAGAGUUGCUCCUGCCGCUGGGGGGGAAACCGAGCUCUGUGGCUCCAGGGGUGUUGUCCACCCGCCUGUAAUCAGGGUCUGGGUGCGCGAGCGUUUGUGCUCUGCUGGCAGCCUGUGUGGGGUGACCGCCCCGCUAGCGGGGUGUGGGUCGAGGUGCCCCGGACUGGGAGAGAAGGAGCCUCCCUCGGCCGUAGGGAUGGGGGCUGCCCUGUAAGUCAGGGAGCAUCUGUGUCCCGGAGUCCCAGGCCCUUUUCAAUGGCGGCAGUGGCCGGGGGUCCCCUGUAAGCAGGGAAGCUGACUCUUUGGCUGCUGCUUUUUGUGUGCCCAGCCCCAUUUGCCCAGUCUGCCUGCCUCUGUGAUCCCCCGCAGCACUGGCUGGAAGUCCGCCGCGUGUCAGUGAGGAGCUGCUUCAGAAGAAAGAAGAAGCGGCGUGGGGACCUGGGCUGCAAAAUCAAGAUUGGGUAUCUGUUGACUGUUUUUCUUGUAUUUCUUUGCCUUUUGGAGCCACAGUUUUGAACAGUUGUGUAAGACUUUAUCACUCUUUUUGUCAGCGUCGUCAGCUGUGAAUAAAGUUUUUUUUCCAUGUUGUUUUUCCUGUUA